UUUAUGGAGAGUUUGAUCCUGGCUCAGGAUGAACGCUGGCGGCGUGCCUAAUACAUGCAAGUCGAGCGAACGGACGAGAAGCUUGCUUCUCUGAUGUUAGCGGCGGACGGGUGAGUAACACGUGGAUAACCUACCUAUAAGACUGGGAUAACUUCGGGAAACCGGAGCUAAUACCGGAUAAUAUUUUGAACCGCAUGGUUCAAAAGUGAAAGACGGUCUUGCUGUCACUUAUAGAUGGAUCCGCGCUGCAUUAGCUAGUUGGUAAGGUAACGGCUUACCAAGGCAACGAUGCAUAGCCGACCUGAGAGGGUGAUCGGCCACACUGGAACUGAGACACGGUCCAGACUCCUACGGGAGGCAGCAGUAGGGAAUCUUCCGCAAUGGGCGAAAGCCUGACGGAGCAACGCCGCGUGAGUGAUGAAGGUCUUCAUCAAUAAUUAAAAAACUCUGUUAUUAGGGAAGAACAUAUGUGUAAGUAACUGUGCACAUCUUGACGGUACCUAAUCAGAAAGCCACGGCUAACUACGUGCCAGCAGCCGCGGUAAUACGUAGGUGGCAAGCGUUAUCCGGAAUUAUUGGGCGUAAAGCGCGCGUAGGCGGUUUUUUAAGUCUGAUGUGAAAGCCCACGGCUCAACCGUGGAGGGUCAUUGGAAACUGGAAAACUUGAGUGCAGAAGAGGAAAGUGGAAUUCCAUGUGUAGCGGUGAAAUGCGCAGAGAUAUGGAGGAACACCAGUGGCGAAGGCGACUUUCUGGUCUGUAACUGACGCUGAUGUGCGAAAGCGUGGGGAUCAAACAGGAUUAGAUACCCUGGUAGUCCACGCCGUAAACGAUGAGUGCUAAGUGUUUGGGGUUUCCGCCCCUUAGUGCUGCAGCUAACGCAUUAAGCACUCCGCCUGGGGAGUACGACCGCAAGGUUGAAACUCAAAGGAAUUGACGGGGACCGCACAAGCGGUGGAGCAUGUGGUUUAAUUCGAAGCAACGCGAAGAACCUUACCAAAUCUUGACAUCCUUUGACAACUCUAGAGAUAGAGCUUUCCCCUUCGGGGGACAAAGUGACAGGUGGUGCAUGGUUGUCGUCAGCUCGUGUCGUGAGAUGUUGGGUUAAGUCCCGCAACGAGCGCAACCCUUAAGCUUAGUUGCCAUCAUUAAGUUGGGCACUCUAAGUUGACUGCCGGUGACAAACCGGAGGAAGGUGGGGAUGACGUCAAAUCAUCAUGCCCCUUAUGAUUUGGGCUACACACGUGCUACAAUGGACAAUACAAAGGGCAGCGAAACCGCGAGGUCAAGCAAAUCCCAUAAAGUUGUUCUCAGUUCGGAUUGUAGUCUGCAACUCGACUACAUGAAGCUGGAAUCGCUAGUAAUCGUAGAUCAGCAUGCUACGGUGAAUACGUUCCCGGGUCUUGUACACACCGCCCGUCACACCACGAGAGUUUGUAACACCCGAAGCCGGUGGAGUAACCUUUUAGGAGCUAGCCGUCGAAGGUGGGACAAAUGAUUGGGGUGAAGUCGUAACAAGGUAGCCGUAUCGGAAGGUGCGGCUGGAUCACCUCCUUU
rnacentral:rRNA from 1 species